rnacentral:lncRNA from 1 species
CUGGCAACGCCGCACUUUAAGCCAGUCUUACAGGUUCGUUGAACAAUGGGCAAAAAAUAAAGAGCGAAAAAAAAGAGAAAAAGGUCUGUUCCAGUACAAGAGCAGGUCUAAGACUUAGACUCUAUAUGUGGAACGGAAUGGUUCUCGGUCUAUUGUGCUCGAGGUAUAAUGACAACAAAAGGAGCUCAGCUUGAUAACAAUGGAGCUGUAUAUUAAUUAAUUCACGACAUGGUGUUAGAAAAAAUUACCAACAAACGUUAAUCUUUAAAGCCAGGAAGCUACUUUCAAUUAAUAACUAAAAUAUAACACUUAAACAGUUAAUUAUGAAGUUUGGAUCAUUUAAAUUAAUGUACAUUUACACACUAUCUGGCAAAUUUGACUUGUUGUGAAUUUCAUACCGCAAUUAAGUAAUAGCGUUUUUCGCAUUGGAGCCGGUUUUUUGGUAGCCAAUGGUAGCUUAUGUGAGCUGCAGCUUAAAUCCUUCAGUAUUUAAUUAAACUAAAUUAAAAAAUUUAUUUAACUCCGAUCGGUUAUUAAACCAAUAUUUAGUGUGAACUUCAGUUUAAGACGCAUCAAUGCCAUUUUAGCCACUUAGAUGGAACUCGAAAAGUAAAUAUUAUGUGGCGGUGGCAAAUGGAGACAUUAAGAACUAAGGCACAUAAAUACGUAUGCAAAUGUAUAUAUAUACACAAAACAACAU